rnacentral:rRNA from 1 species
UUAAGUUAUUAAGGGCGCACGGUGGAUGCCUUGGCACUAGAAGCCGAUGAAGGACGUUACUAACGACGAUAUGCUUUGGGGAGCUGUAAGUAAGCUUUGAUCCAGAGAUUUCCGAAUGGGGAAACCCAGCAUGAGUUAUGUCAUGUUAUCGAUAUGUGAAUACAUAGCAUAUCAGAAGGCACACCCGGAGAACUGAAACAUCUUAGUACCCGGAGGAAGAGAAAGAAAAUUCGAUUCCCUUAGUAGCGGCGAGCGAAACGGGAAGAGCCCAAACCAACAAGCUUGCUUGUUGGGGUUGUAGGACACUCUAUACGGAGUUACAAAGGACGACAUUAGACGAAUCAUCUGGAAAGAUGAAUCAAAGAAGGUAAUAAUCCUGUAGUCGAAAAUGUUGUCUCUCUUGAGUGGAUCCUGAGUACGACGGAGCACGUGAAAUUCCGUUGGAAUCUGGGAGGACCAUCUCCUAAGGCUAAAUACUCUCUAGUGACCGAUAGUGAACCAGUACCGUGAGGGAAAGGUGAAAAGCACCCCGGAAGGGGAGUGAAACAGAACCUGAAACCGUGUGCUUACAAGUAGUCAGAGCCUGUUAAUGGGUGAUGGCGUGCCUUUUGUAGAAUGAACCGGCGAGUUACGAUUUGAUGCAAGGUUAAGCAGUAAAUGUGGAGCCGUAGCGAAAGCGAGUCUGAAUAGGGCGUUUAGUAUUUGGUCGUAGACCCGAAACCAGGUGAUCUACCCUUGGUCAGGUUGAAGUUCAGGUAACACUGAAUGGAGGACCGAACCGACUUACGUUGAAAAGUGAGCGGAUGAACUGAGGGUAGCGGAGAAAUUCCAAUCGAACCUGGAGAUAGCUGGUUCUCUCCGAAAUAGCUUUAGGGCUAGCCUCAAGUGAUGAUUAUUGGAGGUAGAGCACUGUUUGGACGAGGGGCCCCUCUCGGGUUACCGAAUUCAGACAAACUCCGAAUGCCAAUUAAUUUAACUUGGGAGUCAGAACAUGGGUGAUAAGGUCCGUGUUCGAAAGGGAAACAGCCCAGACCACCAGCUAAGGUCCCAAAAUAUAUGUUAAGUGGAAAAGGAUGUGGCGUUGCCCAGACAACUAGGAUGUUGGCUUAGAAGCAGCCAUCAUUUAAAGAGUGCGUAAUAGCUCACUAGUCGAGUGACACUGCGCCGAAAAUGUACCGGGGCUAAACAUAUUACCGAAGCUGUGGAUUGUCCUUUGGACAAUGGUAGGAGAGCGUUCUAAGGGCGUUGAAGCAUGAUCGUAAGGACAUGUGGAGCGCUUAGAAGUGAGAAUGCCGGUGUGAGUAGCGAAAGACGGGUGAGAAUCCCGUCCACCGAUUGACUAAGGUUUCCAGAGGAAGGCUCGUCCGCUCUGGGUUAGUCGGGUCCUAAGCUGAGGCCGACAGGCGUAGGCGAUGGAUAACAGGUUGAUAUUCCUGUACCACCUAUAAUCGUUUUAAUCGAUGGGGGGACGCAGUAGGAUAGGCGAAGCGUGCGAUUGGAUUGCACGUCUAAGCAGUAAGGCUGAGUAUUAGGGAAAUCCGGUACUCAUUAAGGCUGAGCUGUGAUGGGGAGAAGACAUUGUGUCUUCGAGUCGUUGAUUUCACACUGCCGAGAAAAGCCUCUAGAUAGAAAAUAGGUGCCCGUACCGCAAACCGACACAGGUAGUCAAGAUGAGAAUUCUAAGGUGAGCGAGCGAACUCUCGUUAAGGAACUCGGCAAAAUGACCCCGUAACUUCGGGAGAAGGGGUGCUCUUUAGGGUUAACGCCCAGAAGAGCCGCAGUGAAUAGGCCCAAGCGACUGUUUAUCAAAAACACAGGUCUCUGCUAAACCGUAAGGUGAUGUAUAGGGGCUGACGCCUGCCCGGUGCUGGAAGGUUAAGAGGAGUGGUUAGCUUCUGCGAAGCUACGAAUCGAAGCCCCAGUAAACGGCGGCCGUAACUAUAACGGUCCUAAGGUAGCGAAAUUCCUUGUCGGGUAAGUUCCGACCCGCACGAAAGGCGUAACGAUUUGGGCACUGUCUCAACGAGAGACUCGGUGAAAUCAUAGUACCUGUGAAGAUGCAGGUUACCCGCGACAGGACGGAAAGACCCCGUGGA